rnacentral:tRNA from 1 species
GCACUGGUGGUUCAGUGGUAGAAUUCUCCCUUUCCAUGUAGCAGACCCAGGUUCAAUUCCUGACCAAUGCA